CUGCUGAGGAGUCCCAGAAUAGGAGGAAACGACCGUUAUGCAG
rnacentral:hammerhead_ribozyme from 1 species